rnacentral:rRNA from 1 species
ACACUCCUACGGGAGGCAGCAGUGGGGAAUUUUGGACAAUGGGCGAAAGCCUGAUCCAGCCAUGCCGCGUGCAGGAUGAAGGCCUUCGGGUUGUAAACUGCUUUUGUACGGAACGAAACGGCCUUUUCUAAUAAAGAGGGCUAAUGACGGUACCGUAAGAAUAAGCACCGGCUAACUACGUGCCAGCAGCCGCGGUAAUACGUAGGGUGCAAGCGUUAAUCGGAAUUACUGGGCGUAAAGCGUGCGCAGGCGGUUAUGUAAGACAGUUGUGAAAUCCCCGGGCUCAACCUGGGAACUGCAUCUGUGACUGCAUAGCUAGAGUACGGUAGAGGGGGAUGGAAUUCCGCGUGUAGCAGUGAAAUGCGUAGAUAUGCGGAGGAACACCGAUGGCGAAGGCAAUCCCCUGGACCUGUACUGACGCUCAUGCACGAAAGCGUGGGGAGCAAACAGGAUUAGAUACCCCUGUAGUCCCAU